UCCUCCUUCAGUAGACAUGCCUCCACCCUCAUAUCAGCCAUCAAAGAAGGCUUCAUUACUGUGGGAAAACAUGCUCCAGAAGCGCUGCUUAGUCUCAUUUGGAGCAACCUGAUCUGUUCUGUCAGCACAACAAUAGAAGCUGGUAAUAAGAAGGAAAGACAGGGGUCAGAGGUUCUCACGCUGCUUCUACAGGCUUUGCAGUCCAUCCUGUCCUCAGAUGAUCUGCCUGCUGAAUGUGCCCUGGUAAGAUGGCACUUCAUGGUGAAAAUGACCUGCUAAAUGACUUGGAUGCUGAAAGUGUUAGCCAACAAAGAUUCAAUCUGGCAUGCU